rnacentral:rRNA from 1 species
GACGAACGCUGGCGGCGUGCCUAAUACAUGCAAGUGGGACGCAAGGGAACACACUGUGCUUGCACACCGUGUUUUCUUGAGUCGCGAACGGGUGAGUAACGCGUAGGUAACCUGCCUAUUAGCGGGGGAUAACUAUUGGAAACGAUAGCUAAUACCGCAUAAUAUUAAUUAUUGCAUGAUAAUUGAUUGAAAGAUGCAAGCGCAUCACUAGUAGAUGGACCUGCGUUGUAUUAGCUAGUUGGUAAGGUAAGAGCUUACCAAGGCGACGAUACAUAGCCGACCUGAGAGGGUGAUCGGCCACACUGGGACUGAGACACGGCCCAGACUCCUACGGGAGGCAGCAGUAGGGAAUCUUCGGAUGGACGAAAGUCUGACCGAGCAACGCCGCGUGAGUGAAGAAGGUUUUCGGAUCGUAAAGCUCUGUUGUAAGUCAAGAACCGUGUGUGAGAGUGGAA